AAUAUGUCCUGCCUAUGCUUGGCACAACAGAGGGCAAGUUGGUGGAGCCACAAGCCAUGAAAGGGGAGAUCAAAAACCAUUUUGGUUCCCAGCAGAGAAUUUCUGCUGCCCAGAAUUCCUGAUGGUCCAUCAUUUCUUGUACAGAACAAAUCAAGCAAAAACCCCACACCUAGGCUGGAGGAGACCUUCAAAAUCAUCCAGACCAACCUAGCACCCAGCCCUAUCCAUAGAAAAGAGACUUUGUUCUUUUGAACGAGAACUAGGCAAGAACUAACAGUGGCAGACAUCCUUACACUGUCAUAGUGACAUCAGCAAAAGAAAAAAAACAGAAAUCAUUCAGUUGGAACAAGAAGAAGAAGAAGAAGAAGAAGAAGAAGCAGCUCCAAUGACACUUAACGUGGACACUGCCAACUGAAGAGGUGAAUGGUUAGAAACUGAGUGCUCAUAUACAGCAUGUUUGCUGAGAGGGCUUUCAUCGACAAUCCAGCUGGAGAAAACAGCUCUUCCGGGCCUUUUAAAGCUGGUCACUGAUCAGCUCUAGCAAGCUUGAUUACGUCCAUUUAGCUCACCAGUGCGUACUGAUUGAGACAGAGACAUAAAACUGGGACUUAAAGGCAGUACAAAUGUAGGCUAUUGCACAUGCUGGAUUGAACAGUACUUAUGAAAAAUAAUACCAAGUUCAGAAGAUGAUCACUGAACUGUGAUCUUAGUACGAAGGAUGGGAACCUAAUAACAUGUGGUUGCUUUUUAUUUUUCCCUUCCUGCAUCUCAAUAAAGAAUAAAUGAUCCCCAGAUUCUUCCUUACAUACUGGGACAAAAGUGAACUAUUACAAUUCUUUUUUUUCUCCCUGGAACUCUGCUGGUUUAUCAGGGACCAUUGAAAGCUGAUUGACUUCCUAUAACAAACCAGCGGUGAGUUAUUUACAGCAGCGGGAUUCUGUAUGGAGGCAGGAUACUCUGUACUGAAUGUCAGAAGCAGUUGCUACUAUUUGUUGGAUGGGAACUUAAUGGAUGAAGAGCCAUGAGUUUAUUUGCCAGAAAUAUCAAAUGCUAGCAAACAGCUUGCUGUAGUCCUGGCCUUGGCUUCCGACGUUAACCUGAUUAGAACAGAAUUAACUGUGAUGUUCUUGGAUGUUCUUUCGCUAGUAUUAGAAGGUCGUUAAACAAUGGGCAGAUAUUUUUCAAGCUUCACUGGGAUGGCUUUUAAUUUCAAACAGGUAGAGAGGGAUUUUGUCUUUAAUUUUAACAUGCAAAUUUUUUAUAUGAGUCAGAGGAUUCUCAGCUUCAAGCCGAAAAGAGUCUGAACCGACUCAAUUGUAUUGCUAACAUUGUUGUUUAGCACUUAAUUGUAACAAAUUGCAUUGGAGUCAGUUGGUUCAUUCAUGUUAUCAUUAAAAUACAGCAUACACACUUUAAAGAACUAUCAGGAGAGGCUGAGGGACCUGGAGGUGUGUAGACUGCAGAAUCAUAGAAUCAUAGAAUCAACCAGGUUGGAAGAGACCUCCAAGAUCAUCCAGU